GUUACUGAUAAUACUGGAUAAGUUAGUAUAUCGCAUGAUAUGCAAAUGAAAGCUACGGCACUAAAAGGAGGAGCUUUGCGUCCUAUUAGCUAGUUGGGAAGGUAAGAGCUUACCAAGGCGAUGAUAGGUAGCCGGCCUGAGAGGUGGACGGCCACAAGGGGACUGAGAUACGGCCCUUACUCCUACGGGAGGCAGCAGAA
rnacentral:rRNA from 1 species